rnacentral:rRNA from 1 species
AUGUCCUCCUCCUCCUCCACCCCAGCCUUUCCGCCGCAAGAGGGCGAUGCCGAAACCAACGAGGAGCUCUACGGGCAGUUCACCGAGCUGGCGUCCUCCUGGCCGUGCUCCGGGGGCCUCUCCAGGGCGAAACUGCUCUACCGCCAUGAGAAGGGCUGGUACAGCACCCUGCCUCCGAUGGUCGGCGCGAUGGUCGCCGACGCACGCUUCGCCGCGCGCCCCUCGGACAUCGUCGUCGCCACCAUGCCCAAGUCCGGCACCACGUGGAUGAAGGCGCUCCUCUACUCCACGGUCCACCGGAGGGAGCACACCCCGGGCGGCCCCGGCCACCCGUUCAACUCCCUCGGCCCGCACGACUGCGUCCGCCACCUGGAGUACCAGCUCUACACGCGCAACAGGGUCCCGGACCUCGACGGGCUCCCGGACCCGAGGCUCCUCGCCACGCACGUCCCGCUCGCGUCGCUGCCGAGGUCCGUCGCCGCGUCGGGGUGCCGGAUCGUGUACGUGUGCCGCGACCCCAAGGACACCCUGGUCUCGACGUGGAGCUUCGUGAACAAGUUCAGGGCCGAGGACGGGCUGGAGCCGAUCCCGGUCGAGGCCGCCGCCGGCUACUUCUGCGACGGCGUGUCGGCGUCCGGGCCGUACUGGGACCACGUCCUCGGGUACUGGCGCGCGCACCUGGCGAACCCCGAGCGGGUGCUCUUCUUCCGGUACGAGGAGAUGAGCCGGGACCCUGCGGCACACGUGCGGAGGCUGGCGGAGUUUGUCGGGCGCCCGUUCAGCGCGGAGGAGGAGGAAGACGGCGCGGUGGACGCCGUCGUCAAGCUGUGCUCGUUCGAGCACAUGACCGGGCUCGAAGCGACCAAGAGCGGCAAGACGGAGCUUGUGUUGGGCGCUGUGGAGAACAGCUCGUUCUUCCGGCGCGGCCUGGUCGGGGAUUGGGAGAACCAUCUCUCGCCGGAGACAGCACGAAGGAUUGACGCCAUUACCGAGGCUAAGUUUAGGGGUUUCGGUCUCUCUGUCUAG